UCCCCACCGCCGCCUCCUGCUGCCGCAACCCCUUCCCCGCCACCUCCCCUCUCUAUGCCUCUCCACCUGCGCUCGGUCACAGGGAGGGGUGGCGCGGAACUCGGGCCGCAGCGGCAUGCCGGCCCCGUCGAUGUCCUUGCCUAGAGGUCGCAGCCGCCGCGUCGAACUUAUGCCUACCGUCGGUACCCGCCGUCUCUAGCCCGUGUCGUCCAUGUCACCUCGGCCUGGUCAGCACCAAAGCCCUCACAAGGAGUCGCUCAAGCUUCCUGUCGAUCCGCCUCGACAUGAUCUGUACGACGUGCCCCUCUUUGGUGUAGAGGAACUCUCACAAUCGGUAUAAGUUUAUGGGGGAAGGUUGAUGCUAUUAGAAAUACAGAAAUUAAAAGCUUUCAGGCCAUACGAAGCUAAGGUUUUCUUUCCUUUUAGCUGUUCGGUUCAAAGGAAAGCUACUCAACAUUCCACAGGAAAAACAUUCCACAGGAAAAGAUCACUGGGUAUGCACAUUUCACGGGAUUGAACAAAUCCACACGGAGCUCAUUUUUCGGCGGAAUCUCGAGGCAAAACAGAGGAAUUGUACUGUUGGGCAGAAUUAAAUUUUAAUCAUGUGGCCGUUCAUGAGGUGAAAGAAGAGAACAGCAAGUGCGGUGCAAAUAAAAUAUUGUGUUAGCUACUGUUCAUUACUACUUAAGUUUUUCACUGUUCAUUCAAUCCAAUCCUACGUAGUUUCCCUUUCCUAUGUUCUCUGUAACUGCAGCCCGAACGGAGCCUGAAUCAUUAUGAUGUUUAUUGGUUUCAGACCAUAUGGAUGUGAGGUAUGAUCUUUCUAGCAAAUCUGCAAUGAUGCUAUUUUCUUAUUUCUAUCCUUUGAUAAGGCCUAUAAAUUAUUCAAAAGAGUUCUCAUAAAAAAAAAGAGAUUUGGAGUGUUUACAUAUUUUUAUUUUAACCUUCUUGAGUUUUUAAGUUGAGAACAGAUGCUUACAUUUCAUUUGGAGAAAAAGAGAGGAGAAAUUCAUAGAUAGCUUUGUCGAAGAAUUACUGUCAAUAAUGCCAGUUGCCCCAAAGAUGCGCACUACGGGCUUUAACCUAGCAAAUGGAGGGUCAGCGGACAAAAGCCAAAGCAGAAUGUUACACAUGACUGCCCUUCAUAAGCAUAUCUGAAAUUUGAGUAAUUAUAGGCCAUUAUAUUGAUUGUUGGAAAUGCUACAACCUACAAAGGCAUCAACCCCUUGCCCAAAAGGAGUAGCAGCAACUACGUUUUGUCUCUAAUGCAUGUUUGGCUGAAAUUCCCCCUCCUAUUUAUUGCAUAGCUCUCACAAAUCAGACAACCUACAAAUGGACAGAAGGGAGGGGAUAUUCUACUUAAACUAUGUGAUAUCAACAGCGACUCAGGCUUCACUUUGCUUUGUUUUUAUGACUUAUCACUGCUAUAUUGUUAAAACUUGUACUGAAACAGUGUACUACUUGCAGAGGAAUUCUGGCAGUUCAUCCUCACUGUUCACCCAUCUGAAUGAAUGUGAAUUCGAGCUAUGAUUAUUUAUCUCUGUUUAUUUAUAGUUUUGCUCUUCUCUUUUUCCAGCAAAGUAUACAUCAACAAUAAACACUAGAUCUGUGUAUAUUAUAGAUAUGUAAGUAAGCAGUAGACUGGAUCUACAGAUUUGAACUAGAAUCCCUAAAGCAGGUACGCGUACAUGUAUACAUCUGUGUGUCCCUGUUGAUGUAUCUUACCUUGACAGAGGAGGAAAGGGCUGACGGCCAUCUUUGUGAGGCUCAGAGAAGUUCUCGACGAAGCAGAGCACACAGCGUCCCAUGUCGAACCGCGGGCAUGGCUGACAUGGUGUGAGAAAAGGGGGAUUAGACAGAAGGACAUGUAGCAGUCGGGUGAGUAGGUAGAGUCAAUCGACGUGACCAACCUGCAGGAAAUGAAUGGCGUGAAUGGUGAAACUUCAUCGGGACUUGCCGCGCCUAGCUCUGGGCGGCGCCACUUCCCAAUCGUCAGUGUGAGCAGGAGGAAUCGGGAGUAAUGCACCUUGAGUGCUCUCUGUAUUGAUCUCAGGUAUAUAUAGGCUACCUUACAACAAGGUCAGGCGCGGGGCGCCGGA